AUGGUUGUCGUCAGCUCGUGUCGUGAGAUGUUGGGUUAAGUCCCGCAACGAGCGCAACCCCUACGUUUAGUUGCUAACAGGUGAAGCUGAGCACUCUAGACGAACUGCCGUUGACAAAACGGAGGAAGGUGGGAUGACGUCAAAUCAUCAUGCCCCUUAUGUUCUGGGCUACACACGUGCUACAAUGGCCGGUACAGACGGAGGCGAAGCCGCGAGGCGGAGCAAAUCCGAAAAAGCCGGUCUCAGUUCGGAUUGCAGGCUGCAAUUCGCCUGCAUGAAGUCGGAAUCGCUAGUAAUCGCAGGUCAGCAUACUGCGGUCGAAUACGUUCCGGGCCUU
rnacentral:rRNA from 1 species